CGUCUAUAUACGUAUAGCAUAUCAAUAAGCGGAGGAAAAGAAACUAACAAGGAUUCCCCUAGUAACGGCGAGUGAAGCGGGAAGAGCUCAAAUUUGAAAUCUUCAAGGGUUUCCCUUGACGAAUUGUAGUUUAAAGAAGUGUUCUCUGUUGGAGUUUUGGUAAAGGUUCUUUGGAAUAGGACAUCAUAGAGGGUGAGAAUCCCGUAUUUGACCAUUAUUUCCAGCUUUGUGAUACACUUUCAAAGAGUCGGAUUGUUUGGGAAUGCAGUCCAAAAUGGGUGGUAAAUUUCAUCUAAAGCUAAAUAUUGGCGAGAGACCGAUAGCGAACAAGUACCGUGAGGGAAAGAUGAAAAGAACUUUGAAAAGAGAGUUAAACAGUACGUGAAAUUGUCAAAAGGGAAGCGUUUGACACCAGUGUUGUUUAGUUCGAAAAUCAAUUAAAAAUGUUGUGAUUUUAGUAGUAUUGACUUCAUCAGCUUGCUGCUUUCUUCUCAUAAAUUAUUUAAUGCACUUUUCAGUUAACAAGUCAACAUCAAUUUCUUUUGUUGUAAAAGGGUAAGAGGAAGGUGGCUUGCGCUUCGGCUCAAGUGUUUAUAGCCUUUUAUCUCUGCAAUCGGAGAGAUUGAGGUCUGCAGCGUAGAUCCUUCGGGGUUAGAUACAUUGGUGCUAAGCUAUAGCCUUGUAUAGACAACUUGUUGACUAUGCUCAGUCAUGUAGCUUACUCGCUGAUGCUAUUUUACCUACGCUUAGGAUGUUGAUAGUCACAGCGUGUAC
rnacentral:rRNA from 1 species